rnacentral:tmRNA from 1 species
GGGGGCGUAAAGGUUUCGACGGGGAUUGUGAACCUUAGUAAGCGAGUAGUGGUGCGGACCCACUGAAAACGCCGUAUUUUUAAAAUUAAACGACAACAAACAAGUUGCGUACGCAGCCUAAUUAAGGCUGCCGUCUCAUUUAGGAGAACCACGGCCUGAAUUGAGAUGUCGAUGAGUGGUGCACGUGAAUCAAGCUACGCCUUUCACUUGAUCAUGACUUAAAGGCUACCAAUUCUUUCAGCUUUCCAAUUAGCGGGAAGAAGCGGGAAUCUUAAAUAAUUGGAUACACUCGUAGAAAGCUUUGGCAAGUGAUUUUCGGACAGGAGUUCGAUUCUCCUCAGCUCCACCA